UACGUAGGGGGCUAGCGUUGUCCGGAUUUAUUGGGCGUAAAGAGCGUGUAGGCGGCCAGGUAGGUCUGCUGUGAAAACUCGAGGCUCAACCUCGAGACGCCGGUGGAAACUGCAAAGCUAGAGUCCGGAAGAGGAGAGUGGAAUUCCUGGUGUAGCGGUGGAAUGCGUAGAGAUCCGGAAGAACACCGGUGGCGAAGGCGGUUGGCUGGGCCGUGGCUGACACUGAGGCGCGACAGCGUGGGGAGCAAACAGG
rnacentral:rRNA from 1 species